rnacentral:rRNA from 1 species
GACGAACGCUGGCGGCGUGCUUGACACAUGCAAGUCGAACGGAAAGGCCUGCUUUCCCUUGUGGAUUGCGGGUACUCGAGUGGCGAACGGGUGAGUAACACGUGAGUGAUCUGCCCCCAACUUGGGUAUAAGCCUGGGAAACUGGGUCUAAUUCCCGAUAGGACUGCAGGGUGGUGCCUGUGGUGGAAAACGAUUUUCUAGUGGUUGGGGAUGAGCUCGCGGCCUAUCAGCUUGUUGGUGGGGUAAUGGCCUACCAAGGCGGCGACGGGUAGCCGGCCUGAGAGAGUGGACGGCCACAUUGGGACUGAGAUACGGCCCAGACUCCUACGGGAGGCAGCAGUGGGGAAUAUUGCGCAAUGGGCGGAAGCCUGAUGCAGCGACGCCGCGUGGGGGAUGACGGCCUUCGGGUUGUAAACUCCUUUCGACCGCGAGGAAGCCACCUGGAUGGAAGGGUGGUGACGGUAGUGGUAGAAGAAGCACCGGCUAACUACGUG